GCCACCUCAUCGUGUCCGCCAUCUUGGGGCGACGGCCAGAAGUCCAGGGCUAGGAGCCUCAGCCGGCGGACGCCAGGAAACAGAACUGAACCAAAAUACAAACAACAUAAACUACCACUUGAUGAGAAGAACUUCAAAGUCAAAUUGCAAAAGGUGACUAAAAAAGGGGAGUACUUUCAGCCGUUUUCAAAAUAAUCUAUGAUAUGUACUGGAAAACUUCUAAUAAUCCUUGUCAUUUUACAACUUUCCCACAGUUAGAUCAUCAGCAAAUGUCACUUGGAUCCCUAGCUAAAUUGUUCUUCCCAGAAAAUAGUUAUCUCCACUAUGGAAAGUAUUUUAUCAGAAGAAUUCGUAGAAGUAGAAUCUGUUUGUCUUCAGUUAAACAAAAGAAGAACCUCAUUGCUUUCCAACUGGGCCCCGGCCAUUUUCCAGUUGAAACAUCAAAUAUUUUAUUUGUGUCUUUCACUGCCAAUUAAAGGGCAACAGAAAUGGUACAGGCUCCCUCUGCAGUGGAAUUACCCUUAUGUCUUUUCUGUCUAUGCUGAUCCACCUGAUCUUGAACUGGUGCUAUUCCAUGGGGAAAAUUGGAACAUGGGGCAAUUAACACUUUCUCCACUUUAUCCCAUCAACAGGAAAUUGAAAUAUAACCAACUAACUCAGGAGACAUCAUGGAAGAUGUCACACAGUGAAUGAUGAUGAAGCAGAAUUUUUAAAAUGUGUAGGAUUACGAGAAGUGGGGUCAUUUUUCUUUGUGUAUGGUAUUGCUGAUGCAGUUUAAUGCUCCAUUACUUCUAAAUUUUCAUCAUAAGCUAGAUUUUCCAGUUGUGGUUUCUAUAAAGAAAAACAAACAUUCUGAAGACAGUUUUUCCAGAUUUAUUCCAGAUAUCGAUGAUUAACUUUUGAAGCUCCUCUGUUGAUUUGAACAUCCGCUGAAGCUUAUUUUUCACCUCAGAAUAGCAUCAACAUUAUUUGAAAUUCAAUUGUACUUUCUCGUUACAUUAAUAAAUCAUGGAAGUUGAGAAAA
rnacentral:lncRNA from 1 species